rnacentral:rRNA from 1 species
CGUUGUUUGACGUUAGCGACAGAAGAAAGCACCGGCUAACUCCGUGCCAGCAGCCGCGGUAAUACGGAGGGUGCGAGCGUUAAUCGGAAUUACUGGGCGUAAAGCGCAUGCAGGUGGUUUGUUAAGUCAGAUGUGAAAGACCCGGGGCGUCAACCUCGGAAUUAGCAUUUGUAAACUAGGCAGACUAGAGUACUGUAGAGGGGGGUAGGAAUUUCAGGUGUAGCGGUGAAAUAGCGUAGAGAUCUGAAGGAAUACCGGUGGCGAAGGCGGCCCCCUCGGACAGAUACUGACACUCAGAUGCGAAAGCGUGGGGAGCAAACAGGAUUAGAUACCCUGGUAG